GAUGAAGAACGCAGCGAAAUGCGAUACGUAAUGUGAAUUGCAGAAUUCAGUGAAUCAUCGAAUCUUUGAACGCACAUUGCGCCCGUCAGUAUUCUGGCGGGCAUGCCUGUUCGAGCGUCAUUACGCCCCUCAAGUCCCCUGUGGACUUGGUGUUGGGGAUCGGCGAGGCUGGUUUUCCAGCACAGCCGUCCCUUAAAUUAAUUGGCGGUCUCGCCGUGGCCCUCCUCUGCGCAGUAGUAAAACACUCGCAACAGGAGCCCGGCGCGGUCCACUGCCGUAAAACCCCCCAACUUUUUAUAGUUGACCUCGAAUCAGGUAGGACUACCCGCUGAACUUAAGCAUAUCAAUAAGCGGAGA
rnacentral:misc_RNA from 1 species